CCUCCCUCCUGCCAGCCUGCCUGCCCUCCAGGACCCCGUGAUGAUGCGGGCCACGAUGAGUUGAGGCGGACAACAGCUGUCCACCAGACAGCCAGCAAGGUUCCUGGAACCCAGCUCUCUGGGCUCAGGGCUCUGGCCCCCCCAGCUGCAGCCUCCCAGCUCCAAGCUGCCGGCUCUGCUGGAAGCUCCUACCUGCCUGCCUGCCUGACUGCCUGCUGGCCUUCCUGCCUUCCAGGACCCCACGACGAUGAGCAAGAGGAGAUGAGGGGGACCACAGCCAUCCAGCACACACCACAGCACAGCCAGAUGACCACCUGGGCUGGCUGUUGGUGUAGACCAUGAGCAUCUAUAGGCUCAGAUCCCAGAGCAUAUACUUUGUGCAGGGAAGGUUUCCCACGUGGCACUGCGGCUUAGGUCGGAGACUGGAGGCCACUGGGUUCCAUACCAAUCUCUGAUGGCUGCUGCUGGACACCAGUACCCUCUGAGGUGGUGCCAGGACCCUCGGAUGGCUAUAGAUAUGUAUCCUGCCCGUUUCUACUGUGCACGUGUGUGUGAGUGUGUGGGGGAUGCCUUGCCCCAGCAGGGCCCUCCUACAUGUUCGGGCCAAGGGGUCAGGAGAUUCGUAAGGAAGGCUAUGACCAAGGAAGGAGGCCAUCGGGGAGCACCAGGGGGCACCCGCACAGCUGACACACAAAUGGACGUGAGGGUCACAUGGACUGGUUCACCUGUCUGUGGCAAGUGAAGACAGAAGAACUGUACCGACACACAGAUGGGCACAUUUUCCUGGGGCCCAUGUCUUCGAGGAACCUGCAGCCUUGUCACCCUCUGUCUAUCUGUCUGAUCAGAAGGGAGUUACCUUGUUACCUGCCACCAAGGGUGCCAUAGCAAGCGGUGGCUGUGUCUGAUGACAGACAGGAGAGAGGUGGUGCCACGUGUUGUUGGCUGUCUCUGUCUUUGGGCUGCAUGUAGGGGAACUCAGGGUUGUGUGUGUAUAGGGCUGGGUCAGCAUCCAGUGUGUGCCAGGACUGGCCUGGGUCCUUCUGAGAGCAGGCACAGCCCCUGGAAUGAAUUCCUGCUGUUGGUCUUGCCUGCCUCCAUGGGGCCUCCAAUGUUGGGGUCUUUUCCCCCUACCCUUACCUUCAUCCUGGGCUCUGCAUAGAUCCUUCAGGCUCAUACGAUGGUCUGCAUCAUGCCCACUAGCUACCCUCCAGGGCUAACAAUGGAAGGUUGUUGGGGUCACAGAGCAGCCUGAUAUUGGCUCCUCCUCUGAGGUUGAGGAAAGAGCAGUGCCAGUACCCUCUAAAGGGACUGAAUCUCUCUGUAGAGCACAGCCUAGUGUGACCCAUAUAGUUCCACCCUCCAACUGGGAGGGGGACUGAAGACCUCUAGUUCUGAUGAGCCCACCCAUCACUGAUGAAUGUCAGAUUCUAAUUAAGUCACUUCCAGCAGGACUUCUAGAGCCAGGAGGUGGUUGUUGAGGAUUUGGGGAGCAGUGUAUUAAGUUGCGGGAGUGGCCCUGGGGGGGUUCAUGUUAGGUCUACCAGAGGGGUGAGGGUUAGAGAUCUGCUGGGAUUAGGGAGCCAGUGGCUUAGAGAAGCCCCUAUUCACAUGAACCCCCACCUCCUACUCCAUCCCCCACCCACCACAAAGGAAUGCCAGUUUAGAUGCUGGAUUAGAAUCAACCCCACCCUAGAGGAAGUUGCUGUGUUGUACCAAAAAGCAACUUGACAGUCUAGUUGAAUUGUUCCCCAUGGAAAAAUUUAUUGCAUUUCUCUUUUCCUAACGUAGCAUCCUGAAACAUGGAGAAAUCACUGGCUCACCUUAAAAGUCCCAUCAGAGCAGCAAAAGGAGCCAGCCAGCAGGGUGAACCACGCCCCUUCCCCAGGCCUGCCUCACACAGGAGACAAAAAUCAGCCCUCUUACUUCACCAAAGGAGGCGGGAGGAGAAAGGUGUCUGUCUGUCUGUCUGAUGCUGAGUGAAAAUCCAUGUCAACCUCUAGCUGAAUGUCAUUUCCAGUGGGAUACCUGUCUGCCUGUUUGGUUUGGUGGUUCUCAGAUCCAGAGAUCCGUGAAAAAACACAGAAAGAGUGUUCAGGCUUGGCUCCCUGGCUCCCAGCCUCCUGCGCUCACACUGGGCACUGAUGAGUGCAGGUUCACAACACAAACAUGCUCCCCCCGCAUCCACCCACACCCCAACUCUAACAACCCACACAGAUGUCCUGAUCAUCACCUAUAAAACUGGCAUAUGAAGCUCAGCUCGGCUCAGCACUGCACUGCUCUGCUUCACUUGGCUCUGCUCAGCUGGGCUCCAUAAACCCCACAUGUGUCUGUCUAUCCAUUUGCCCCCUGAUUGGACUGACUCCUAGAUCAUCAUCCAUGAACCCACUUGGGACCCGUUUCUCUCUGUUUGCUCUCUCUCUCUCUCUCUCUCUCUCUCUCUCUCUCUCUCUCUCUCUCUCUCUCUCUGCUUUUUGUCGUGCAAGGGGCCUUGCUUUUAGCUGUCUCUCAGCUGUCCUUGUGGCCCUAUGCCUUUUUUCACUCUCUCCUCCCUGCUUUUUCUCAGACCCUAACACCACACACACCCUUAUGCCUUGAUCUUCACCCGAGAGCCUAACACUCAGGGCUCAGCUGAGCUCUGCUGAUGGAUCCCAGAUCUACCUACUCCUCUUCCUGCCUGUCUGCUGGGAUUCCCACAUCUGUCCUACACAAACACCUUUGGAUCCUCUCUCCGAUCCCUCCCUGUUUUCAUCCCCAGUCCUGUCCCUUUUACCACCCAUCUGCACACUCUCUGUACCUUUCUCUGAGCCCUUAGACUCUUUCUGCCUCACUCUCUCUGUCUGUCUCUCUGUCUCUGUCACUGUCUCUGUCUCUGUCUGUUUCUCUGUCUUUCUCUGUCUCUGCUUUCCUCUGGCCUUUGCCUAGUUUGGGUUCUCUCUGGUUUUGUUUGCAGGGGGAGGAGCUGCAGUCUUUUUUCACUCUCUCGGGUUUUCUCCCUCCCUGGGCUGCUUUCAGUCUCUCUCUGCUUUCUUACCUUCCCCUGGGCUUUUUGGGGCUGGGUCUCAGUUGUUUGUGCAGCCUCACCCAUGUCUCUGUUAACUGGGGCCUUCCCCACUCUUUUACAGACCGUAACAUCACACAGACACACACACACACACACACACACACACACACACACACACACACACACACACAUACACACACACACACCUAUGCCCUGAUCAUCAACCAUGAGCCUAACACACACAGCAGCUCAGCUCAGCUCAGCUCAGUGGAUUCUAAUCUAAGCCUCUGCCUGGGUCUUGCUGCUGGGAUUGCCCUGUCUGUCUUCAGUCCCUUUGCCUCUUUUGGAUCCCUCCCUCCAUCCCUCAUUCCCCAGUUUAUCCCCCCCCCCUCCUUUCCCAUUUACCACUGGCUGGGCUGUCCCCUCUGUGCUAUUCUCCGGGGGGCCCUUUAACUCUUUGGACAUCUCUGUCUCUGGCUGUUUCUCCAUCUCUGUCUCUGUCUCUUUCUUUGCUUUUCUCAGGACCUCUGCUCUUUGAAGUUUUACAUUCUUGCCUUUUGGCUCUGGGCUCUGUGCUCUGGUUUCUGUGCUGUGGUCUCUGGGCUCUUGGAGGCUGGGCACAGAGUGGAGGGGACUGAGUGAGUGAGUGGGCUGCCUGGGAGUGGCAGACAGGAUGCAGGGAGUGGAGUAGGGUGGCAACAGGGUGUUGGUUCCGGAGGCUUAGCUAGAGGAGUGCUGGAUUAGGGCAGGCCAGUGGACCCCAGGCAGCUAGGGUUAGGAUGGCCUGGGUUAGAAUUAGCGCAGGGUUGCAGUUUAGCCAGCCUCUGGGCUUAACAGGCAGGGAUUUAGGGAGGCAAUGGGCUGCCACGCCCCAGCAGCCAUGCCACACCCCAGGCUGGAUUGGAUCUGCUGUGGGUUCAUGCACCAUGAAUUCCACAGCCUAGGUGAAAUUUUCCAAGUGGGAAAAGUCUGUCUGCUGACUGAACAUCGAAUUCUCCGAGGCUUUCCUGCUUCCUCUCAGCAUCCAAGGCCUCCGAGGUUCUCCUGUGU